GCCUGAGUGGCUUAGUCAGUUAAGUGUCCGACUUUGGCUCAGGUUACGAUCUCAUGGUUCGUGGGUUCAAGCCCUGCGUCAGGCU
rnacentral:tRNA from 1 species